rnacentral:misc_RNA from 1 species
AACAACUUCAUAACUAAACUAAGAUAUGAAAGAUUACAAGCAUUAAAAUGUAAUAAAAUAUCCUAGCACUUGCAUCAUCUUCUGAACAAAAUAGUAGCAGUAGUUUUUUCAAUCUUCAACCCUCCUCCUUGAUGCAAGUGUGGUUACAAACACCAAGGCUUUAUCUCAAGAAUUCAAAUCUCUGUUUUUGAAGUGCCUUAGUAAAUAUUUAUGCAGCUUGAUCUUCAGCAUUGCAGUAUUCACAGCUUCUGCCCACAAGAUCGUUGGCAAAUUCUUCUCAAACAUGCCAUAUUCUUCAAAGACCUAUUUUUCCAUUCAAUCAAACCAUUUUGCUGGGGUUUGUAAGUGACAGUAAGCUGAUGAAUGCCUACCUCUUAAAAAUAUUCCUUGAACUGAUUUGAAGUGAAUUCAUUUCUAUUGUCAGACCUUAAGGUCUUGAUCAAGGAACCAGAUUGAGUCUCAACCGCGGCUUUGAACUUCAAUAAUAUGCUUAAAACUUUUGAUUUUUGCUUGAGGAAAUAGAUCCAAUGAUAUUUGGUAAAGUGAUCAAUAAAUAGAAGAAAAUAUCUGCUACCACUAUAAGAAGAAAUGUUCAUUGAACCACAUACAUCAGUAUGGAUAAAUACUAAUUUUGCAGAAGCUCUCCAAGCUAGAAAUGGUGACUGACUGAGUUUACCGAAUUGACAAGCUUCACAAACACUGGUGUUCUCAUUUACAAAAGGGAAACCAACAUCUAAAUCUAAAUCUUUGAGUUGUAGUAAUUUUAAUUAUUUGAGAUUUGCAUGACCAAAUCUCUUGCGCCACAGAUAAGUUUCUUCUUUAAUGCUGAGACAGCUUUCAAUCUCAGUUGUUUUCCAAUCUAAAGGAAAACUUCUUCUGUUCAUUUUGACUGAGAACAUCUUCAUGCCAGUAGGAUCACUGAUUUCACAGGUCCUAUCUUUAAACACUAGAGCAUAAUUUUUAUCUAAGAGUUGACCAACUGAAAAUAUACUUUGAUUGAUCUCAAGAACAUAAAGAACAUAUGAAAUAAUCUUUGUACCUGAAGAAGUUUGCACAGCUAAUACUCCUUUGCCUUUGAUAUCAAGAAGUUUUCCAUCUCUAAUUUUGACUUUUGAAGACUAACUAGUGUCCAAGCCCUCAAAACCCUUCAAGCUUACUGUCAUGUGAUUAGUGCAACCACUAUCAAUUAGCCACACAUCUUCAGCUUUAAUUGAAACAUCACAUUUUUUUAUUUCUGUAGCAGCAAACAACUCUUCAUGAUUUUCUAAGUUUUCAGUAGCUUGUGCAAGCUAAGCUUGUGGAUGCAGGUUUUGAUUUGAUGUUCAUACCUUCUCAUUGUGACCAAAUUGUUUGCAGGUCUUACAUUGAGCUCCAGGCCUAUGCCAACAAUAAUUCUCA